rnacentral:rRNA from 1 species
GAUCCUGGCUCAGGAUGAACGCUAGCUACAGGCUUAACACAUGCAAGUCGAGGGGCAGCAUAACGAAGCUUGCUUUGUUGAUGGCGACCGGCGCACGGGUGAGUAACGCGUAUCCAACCUUCCCUAUACUAGAGGAUAGCCCGGCGAAAGUCGGAUUAAUACUCUAUGUUCUUCGUAGAAGACAUCUGAAAUGAAGCAAAGGUUUACCGGUAUAGGAUGGGGAUGCGUCUGAUUAGGUUGUUGGCGGGUAACGGCCCACCAAGCCCACGAUCAGUAGGGGUUCUGAGAGGAAGGUCCCCCACAUUGGAACUGAGACACGGUCCAAACUCCUACGGGAGGCAGCAGUGAGGAAUAUUGGUCAAUGGACGAGAGUCUGAACCAGCCAAGUAGCGUGCCAGGAUGACGGCCCUAUGGGUUGUAAACUGCUUUUAUACAGGGAUAAAGUUCACUACGUGUAGUGUUUUGUAGGUACUGUAUGAAUAAGGACCGGCUAAUUCCGUGCCAGCAGCCGC